rnacentral:rRNA from 1 species
UGCGUAGGCGGGGCAAUUAGUCAGUGGUGAAAUCCUGCGGCUUAACCGUAGAACUGCCAUUGAUACUGUUGCUCCUGAGUAUAGUUGAGGUGGGCGGAAUGUGUAAUGUAGCGGUGAAAUGCAUAGAUAUUACACAGAACACCAAUUGCGAAGGCAGCUCACUAAGCUAUAACUGACGCUGAGGCACGAAAGCGUGGGGAGCGAACAGGAUUAGAUACCCUGGUAGUCC